rnacentral:rRNA from 1 species
AGAGUUUGAUUCUGGCUCAGAACGAACGCUGGCAGCGUGGAUUAGGCAUGCAAGUCGAACGUGAAGCCGAUGAUCAAUCUUUCGGGAAAGUGAUUCGGUGGAAAGUGGCGGAAGGGUGAGUAACGCGUGGGUAAGCUACCUUUAAGUUGGGGACAACCAGAUGAAAAUCUGGCUAAUACCGAAUGUGGUCUUCUGGCACAUGUCAGGAUGACUAAAGGCGGGGAUUCUUCGGAACCUGCCGCUUGAAGAUGCACCCGCGUGCCAUCAGCUUGUUGGUAGGGUAACGGCCUACCAAGGCUUACGGCUAGCCGGCCUGAGAGGGUGACCGGCCACACUGGGACUGAGACACUGCCCAGACUCCUACGGGAGGCUGCAGUCGAGGAUCAUUCGCAAUGCGCGAAAGCGUGACGAUGCGACGCUGCGUGGGGGAUGAAGGCCUUCGGGUCGUAAACUCCUGUCAUGAGGGAAAAGUAUCCCUGCAAUUAAUAGUUGCGGGGCUCGAUGGUACCUCAAGAGGAAGCCACGGCUAACUCUGUGCCAGCAGCCGCGGUAAUACAGAGGUGGCGAGCGUUGUUCGGAUUUACUGGGCGUAAAGGGUGCGUAGGUGGUUUUGUGUGUCGGAUGUGAAAGCCCAUGGCUCAACCGUGGAAUUGCAUUCGAAACUGCAGGACUAGAGUGCAGGAUGGGAGAGCGGAAUUUUUGGUGUAGCGGUGAAAUGCGUUGAUAUCAAGAAAACACCGGUGGCGAAGGCGGCUCUCUGGAAUGCUACUGACACUGAGGCACGAAAGCUGGGGGAGCAAACAGGAUUAGAUACCCUGGUAGUCCCAGCCGUAAACGGUGCACACUUGGUGUGGGGAGAUUUAACCCUCUCCGUGCCGGAGCUAACGCGUUAAGUGUGCCGCCUGGGGAGUACGGCCGCAAGGCUAAAACUCAAAGAAAUUGACGGGGGCCCGCACAAGCGGAGGAGCAUGUGGCUUAAUUCGAUGCAACGCGAAGAACCUUACCAGGGCUUGACAUAUACCUGCAAACCCCGUGAAAGCGGGGAAUCCUUCGAGGGUGGUAUACAGGUGCUGCAUGGCUGUCGUCAGUUCGUGCCGUGAGGUGUUGGGUUAAGUCCCGUAACGAACGCAACCCUUGUGACUAGUUGCCACCGGCGGUGAUGAGCCGUCGAGCACUCUAGUCAGACUGCCCGUACAAGCGGGAGGAAGGUGGGGAUGACGUCAAGUCAGUAUGGCCCUUACGCCCUGGGCUGCACACGUGCUACAAUGGUCGGUACAAUGGGAUGCAAUACCGCGAGGUGGAGCCAAUCCUGAAAGCCGGCCCCAGUUCGGAUUGAAGUCUGCAACUCGACUUCAUGAAGU